GACGAACGCUGGCGGCGUGCUUAACACAUGCAAGUCGAACGAUGAAGCGGGUGCUUGCACUCGUGGAUUAGUGGCGAACGGGCGAGUAACACGUGAGUAACCUGUCCUUUUCUUUGGGAUAACGGCUGGAAACGGCUGCUAAUACUGGAUAUUCAGGCUGCAUCGCAUGGUGUGGUUUGGAAAGGUUUUUUCUGGGAUUGGGUGGGCUCGCGGCCUAUCAGCUUGUUGGUGGGGUGAUGGCUUACCAAGGCUUUGACGGGUAGCCGGCCUGGGAGGGUGGUCGGUCGCACUGGGACUGAGAUACGGCCCAGACUCCGACGCGAGGCAGCAGUGGGGAGUAUUGCACAAUGGACGAAAGUUUGAUGCAGCGACGCCGCGUGGAGGGUGUAGGCCUUCGGGUUGUGAACUCCUUUUUCUCGCGAAAAAGGCACAGUUUUGGCUGUGUUGAUGGUAGUGGGGGAAGAAGCGCCGGCUAACUACGUG
rnacentral:rRNA from 1 species